rnacentral:rRNA from 1 species
AGCUCCAAUAGUGUAUGCUAAUGUUGUUGCGGUUAAAAAGCUCGUAGUUGAAUCUCUAAGGGUGAUUGUCGGUUCGUUUUUCGACGCUACUGACACUUUUGCCCUUAAUAUGAUGAGGGUGCGCUGUGGUGCUCUUCACCGAGUGUCACAGAGCUCCUCAUGGUUUACUUUGAAAAAAUUAGAGUGCUCAAAGCAAGUUUAAACGCUUGAAUAGUCGUGCAUGGAAUAAUGGAAUAGGACGUCGUUUCUAUUUUGUUGGUUUUCGGAAAUCGACGUAAUGAUAAAUAGGGACAGUCGGGGGCAUUAGUAUUCAGACGACAGAGGUGAAAUUCUUGGACCGUCUGAAGACUAACUACUGCGAAAGCAUUUGCCAAGAAUGUUUUCA